GGCCUAUCAGCUUGUUGGUGAGGUAAUGGCUCACCAAGGCGACGACGGGUAGCCGGCCUGAGAGGGUGACCGGCCACACUGGGACUGAGACACGGCCCAGACUCCUACGGGAGGCAGCAGUGGGGAAUAUUGCACAAUGGGCGAAAGCCUGAUGCAGCGACGCCGCGUGAGGGAUGACGGCCUUCGGGUUGUAAACCUCUUUCAGUAGGGAAGAAGCGAGAGUGACGGUACCUGCAGAAGAAGCGCCGGCUAACUACGUGCCAGCAGCCGCGGUAAUACGUAGGGCGCAAGCGUUAUCCGGAUUUAUUGGGCGUAAAGAGCUCGUAGGCGGUUUGUCGCGUCUGCCGUGAAAGUCCGAGGCUCAACCUCGGAUCUGCGGUGGGUACGGGCAGACUAGAGUGAUGUAGGGGAGACUGGAAUUCCUGGUGUAGCGGUGAAAUGCGCAGAUAUCAGGAGGAACACCGAUGGCGAAGGCAGGUCUCUGGGCAUUUACUGACGCUGAGGAGCGAAAGCAUGGGGAGCGAACAGGAUUAGAUACCCUGGUAGUCCAUGCCGUAAACGUUGGGCACUAGGUGUGGGGGACAUUCCACGUUUUCCGCGCCGUAGCUAACGCAUUAAGUGCCCCGCCUGGGGAGUACGG
rnacentral:rRNA from 1 species